ensembl:snRNA U6 U6 spliceosomal RNA
GUUCUCACUUCAGCAACACAUGUACUAAAAUUGCAAAGAUACAGAGAAGAUUAACAUGGCUCCUGUGUAAGGAUGAAACUAAAAUUUGCAAAGUAUCCCAUAUUGUU